GGGCUUAAAUGUAGAGUGCAUUUUUUAGAGAUAGAAAUUCCCUUCGGGGCUUUCUGCAAGGUGCUGCAUGGUUGUCGUCAGCUCGUGCCGUGAGGUGUCGGGUUAAGUCCCAUAACGAGCGCAACCCUUAUCGUUAGUUGCCAUCUGGUAAUGCAGGGGACUCUAGCGAAACUGCCACCGUAAGGUGAGAGGAAGUGGGGAUGACGUCAAAUCAGCACGGCCCUUAUGUCCAGGGCUACACACGUGUUACAAUGGUCGGUACAGAGGGCAGCUACCUGGUGACAGGAUGCUAAUCUCGAAAACCGGUCUCAGUUCGGAUCGAAGUCUGCAACUCGACUUCGUGAAGCUGGAUUCGCUAGUAAUCGCGCAUCAGCCAUGGCGCGGUGAAUACGUUCCCGGGCCUU
rnacentral:rRNA from 1 species